rnacentral:rRNA from 1 species
UACGGAGGGAGCUAGCGUUGUUCGGAAUUACUGGGCGUAAAGCGCGCGUAGGCGGCUUUGUAAGUUAGAGGUGAAAGCCCGGGGCUCAACCCCGGAACUGCCUUUAAAACUGCAUCGCUUGAAUCCGGGAGAGGUGAGUGGAAUUCCGAGUGUAGAGGUGAAAUUCGUAGAUAUUCGGAAGAACACCAGUGGCAAAGGCGGCUCACUGGACCGGUAUUGACGCUGAGGUGCGAAAGCGUGGGGAGCAAACAGG